CAGAGUUCCACAGCGGAGGACCCGGCCCCUGUCUGGCUCUCCCGCAAACACUCUCUCCCCCUCAAUUUACCUCUUUCAGGAGGAGGGGUGGUGACCAGAAACAUCAUCAAGGCUAACUUUCUCAUCUCUGAAAGACCGUGCAAGUGGAACACUAGUUUAGAAAUGAAUGAUCACACAGAAAUGAAUAGCUUUGCGACACUGAAAAUUCAAGCAGUAGCUAACUGAGCCAACGCCACAGGGAUCGGUGAUUCCCCAGCGUGGGAAUCAGCAGUCUAGCAGCGUCACUGACACCCGAACCAGAGCAGGGGCUUACCUUGUUGGAGGCCAUCUCACUGACGGAGUGCCUAGUCUGCAGGGUCUCUAGCUGGUCCAGACACCAGUCCAGCUCCUCCAGGGUCUCGCUGGCCAGUUUCUGGAAAACGGACUGCCUCAAACAGAGAGCCUUGCUGAGGGAAAGGAGCCUGGACAAAAUUUGGAGAAAUCUGACACAUCAGCAGACACUGGCUAUGCAAAUCUCAGGGAUCAGCAGGCAUGAAGAUGAGAGCCCCCGAACCUCAGCAUCUACAUAAAAUCCAGGGAUUGUACAGCUACUAUGGAAAACGGGUAUGAAAAUACAUGUGAAACCCCAAGUGCAGUAUCUGACUUAUAAGGUGAAGCCUAGGACACUCGGUGGUGCACGCUAGCUAACAGAUUUGGUUGAAACUGGCCCAUGGAGUUCAACUACCUGAGAAACAUCCUUGAGCAAGACAGCCCAGGCACGCUGCCCAAACCACAGGCUAUUGGCAACUUGGCCAAAAGCGACUCCUCGGGACUGUUGACCUCCACAGUGCUGAUGAAUACAAUGAGCCGCAGAAGAGGCAUGAUUUGUUUUGAACACAUUUACUAUGAUUGAUGGCCCAUAUCUGGCAAGUUACUUCACUCCCAGCGUAGAUGAAAGUUUCACUGCUUUGCCUCUUACAACAUUCCUGUUGGGACAGGUUUCAGCCUUAUUUGCCAACUACUGACAAGUCACUAACAUUUGCUACGUGAAGAACUCAUUGGCUACUGAAUGUAUCUAUGCUAUACAUAAUAUUCCAGAGUCACCAGGAGCUCCCUGAUAAGUUUUCCUCACUGAAUGCAUCUGGAAACUCUCCUUCAGGCUACCAAAUUUCAAGGUAUGAGUCUAAAUAUCAACCAGACAGAAAAUUUUUGACAUGGGCCAAGGCCAGAACCAGAAUCAGGUUAGGAAGUGAUCUAUUAUGAAUGGCAGGCUAUAAACCACAUAUCCAUGAUCAAAACCACCCACAAAUGGAGUCUGACCAUUCUAUGCCUCAAGUUAUUAUGGGAGACUAUCAGUCUUUUGAGUAAGCCAAUUUCAGAUUCUGGCUCAAAAAAAAAAAAAAGAGUCUAAAAGAAGAUUAAAAUGAAGAUAAUUAAGGUUUCUGGCAGUGGCAAGAGUGUGGGGAGUGAAAACUAUAAAAUGCCAAGAACAGAUGAGUUCCUGUUCUGGGCCAUGGAAAUCCUCAUGGCAAGCUGCAGAAGAACGUAGGGAAGCACACGAAGCCCAAUGACAGGAUCAAAGCUAUUUCCAAGGCCACUCUAAGGAAGAGGCUGCUCAAAACCUGACCUGGAUGGUGGCCAGAAUUCAGAGGUUUGUUUUCAUUGCCACUAGUGCUGUUGCCCUUAAGUAAAGAAACACAAGAGUGAAAAAAAUAUUUUCUUCUGGGGUCAAAUGGAAAGAAGAGAUGGGAUGCCAUAGAAGGGAGAAUGGGGGAAGACACAGAAGAGAGACAGACAUAAGUGUGCUAAAUUUCUGCCCCCUUCAAAAUGGCAUGUUUUGCUACAUGUUGAUAAUGUUUCCCUACGAUUUGUGAUUUUUUUUAAAUUAACUGAUAGGCUAGUUAGCCAAGAUGACCUUUCCACCCUUGGUAUCCUUACAGUGAACUCCAUGGAUUAGCCAUCAGACAGUCCUAGCCAGGCUUUUAUUGGCCUCCCAUGUACUAGAGUAUCACACCACUGUCCAAAGAAGCUACAAGGUCUUGGUGCCGGUCCAGAUAAAAUGAAGUUUACCCUUUGGUCCUAUAGGUUGCUUAUGUCCCAGUGUAAUAUGCGAUUUCAACGUAGCAAAUAGGAAGCAGGUCACACCAGCAGUGAGUUUUCAGGAUUGUGGUGAUUUGUCAACUCAGACUGAAGGUCCAUUUAACUAGUUUGCUAGUCUACUUAGUGUAUCACUAAGUCAUCUGUUCUGAAUUAUUACUUAAGCAAAAAUUAAAAAUACGCUCAGAGUAUUAGCAGCCCCCAAAUUAAUGGACUCGUUAGUGAUGAUCCCCUGGAUGGACUUCUGUUUCUCCUUCUAUCCUUCCAACAAAAGAGACUGACUUCCAAGAAUAAAUACUUCAGUUGUAGAAAUGUUCAGAGUGCCCUACUUUCAAAAAAAACAAAAUAAAUUGAUCCAGCCAUUCAGCGUCUGGCCCAUACACUCCCAGGAACUGAAAUUUGGAGCUUAAGGGGCAUCUGUCUUCUCAUGCUCAUUAGAGUAUUAGUCCUAUUGGCCAAAAUAUGGCAACAAUUUUAAUGUCCAUGUAUAAAGGGAUGAAUAAAAAUGUGGCAUACACAUAGAAUAAAAUAUCAUUUAGGCUUUACAGUGGAAGAGAUCCUGGGCUAGACAUGAUGGCACACACAUGUUAUCUCAGCCCUUGUGAGGCAUCUGAAGUAGGAGGAUCACAAGCUGGUUGCCAGCCUGGUCUACACAGCAAGACUUUACUGUAGCAAAACCAGGCCCACACAAAACAACAGCAACAACAAAAAUAAAUGAAAUCCUUUCACUUGCAAUAACAUGGAUCGGCUUGGGUGACACUGUGCUAUGUGAAAUAAACCAGGCACAUAAAGCCAAAUACUAUA